rnacentral:tRNA from 1 species
GUUCCUAUGGUGUAAAACACAUUAGCUUUUCGAGCUAAAGAUGGGGUCGUUCCUCUGGGAAUA